UUUGAAAGUACAGCCAUCAUAUCUAAGGAUGUCUGCAUUUCCUGUGAACCUGGAUGCCUUCCUAGAUAAGCAACGAAAAGCCUUAUAAACACGACUCGUCCCCAAGCCCAGAGAGUUCCUAAUAAACCAGUCCUGGUGUGUGGAUGGGGGCGGGGAGGGGAUGUGGCAGUGUGAUGAGACCAGACAGAAAUCCCCAGAUGGGAGUGUGAAAAAGAUGAAAAACUUGCUACAUAUGCGAAUCCUUCAUUCAGCACCAUUUCAGUGGUAGAGGGUGAAUUCGGGCUUUUAAAAAAGUCGUUUUAAAGGAAGCUGGAAAACAGUCCCUGUCUGUUUCUCUGGACACCAAAAAUAAAUAAAUAAAAUUUAAAAACACUGAAAUUUC
rnacentral:lncRNA from 1 species